rnacentral:tRNA from 1 species
GAGCCCGUGGCUUAAUGGUAGAGCGUUCGACUCAAAUACCAAAGGUCGCGGGUU